CAAUAGCGUAUAUUAAAGUUGUUGCAGUUAAAAGCUCGUAGUGUAAUUAGAGUGCCGGAGCGUCGGGUCCGACUUUAACUAGUUGUGCACUCAUUUCGCGUCCGGCCUUUCUCGCGGCGAACGUGCCUGGCAUUAGGUUGUCGGGUUCGGGAGCCGCGUCGUUUACUGUGAAAAAUUAGAGUGUUCAUAGCAGGCUUACGCCGUUGAAUACAUUAGCAUGGAAUAAUAAGAUAGGACUUUGGUGAUCUAUUUUGUUUGGUUUGGUCACACCAAGGUAAUGAUUAAUAGGGACGAUUGGGGGGUAGUUCGUAUUCAAUUGUCAGAGGUGAAAUUCUUGGAUUUAUGGAAGACGAACUACUGCGAAAGCAUUUACCAAGGAUG
rnacentral:rRNA from 1 species